UACGAAGGGGGCUAGCGUUGCUCGGAAUCACUGGGCGUAAAGCGCACGUAGGCGGAUUUCUAAGUCGGGGGUGAAAUCCCGGAGCUCAACUCCGGAACUGCCUUCGAUACUGGAGAUCUUGAGUCCGGGAGAGGUGAGUGGAACUCCGAGUGUAGAGGUGAAAUUCGUAGAUAUUCGGAAGAACACCAGUGGCGAAGGCGGCUCACUGGCCCGGUACUGACGCUGAGGUGCGAAAGCGUGGGGAGCAAACAGG
rnacentral:rRNA from 1 species